AAACUGGAGAGUUUGAUCCUGGCUCAGAACAAACGCUGGCGGCGUGCCUAACACAUGCAAGUCGUACGAGAAAUCCUGGGCAACUGGGAGAGUAAAGUGGCGCACGGGUGAGUAACGCGUGGGUAACCUGCCCUUGAACUGGGGAUAAC
rnacentral:ncRNA from 1 species